CCUACUACACACUCACCCUCUUCUAUAUAUAGGAAUCAUGAAUCAUUGUAAUAAAGAUCUAUACAACAACAUAUAUCAAUCAAUAAUACAAUUCUCUUUUUCUUUUUUAUACAUUGAAUUUUUACAGUUGAGAAUAAAAUUCGCCAUGAGUCAUCCACAAUAUAGAAUAUUCUUAAUUUUAUGGUGCUGAAUAUUCGCAAUUUUAUUCUCAACCAUAGCAUGACAUUGUCUAUUUUUAAUGAUUAUUCUAGUUUGAGAUUGUUAAGUGUGGUAGAAACCAGGUUUGCAUCCAACAUCAUCAUGGCUUUAUGUUUAAAUGAUGUUAGGGCAUCCCUUGAGAAAAUGGUGAUGGAUGCAAACUGAAAAACUUAUAGGGAAGACGACAAUAGUGUGGCUGAGAUUGAAGCUCGUGAGGUAAAACAAUGCAUUGUGGAUGACUCAUGGUGGGACAACAUAGAUUACCUUAUAAGUUUUACUAAACCUAUCAUUGACAUGUUAAGGCAAGCAGACACAGACUCUAGUUUUACAUCUAGUAGAUGACAUGCGCGAUACCAUGAUUGAAAAUGUGAAAAAAAAUCAUCUUUGACCAUGAAGGGAUAGACAUAAUUGUUGGUCAAUAAACUUUCUUUAAUGUCAUUCACCAAAUUUUGGAGACUAGAUGGAACAAAAAAGUAAUACCACUUUACAUUGUAUGGCGCAUUCAUUGGUUUCAGAAGUAAUACCCCUUUCAUGUUUGGCUCCAAGAUGGUAGUAAUGGAGUUCCAUGAAUAUCACCACAUGAGGAUCAUGAAGUCUCCAUGAAUAGAAGCAAAUGUUUGAAGAGGUUGUUUACCAAUCAAAUUGAUUUACGGAAAGUUUAUGCUGAAUAUGGAGCCUUUUCUAGUGGGUUAGAUUAUUUCAACUAGCCUCAUGUCAUUGAUGCAAGAAUGUUUGACAAAACCUCUUUCAUGGUGGGCCAAUCAUGGUGCUUUCACACCAUCAAUGCAAGCAUUGACUUUUAAAUUGCUUGUGUAGCCAGCAUCUUCCUCUUGUUGCAAGAGAAAUUGGAGUACAUAUUCUAUAAUUCAAAGCGUUAAGAGAAAUCGACUAGUGACAAGCAGAGCUGAAGACCUAGUGUUUGUGCAUUGCAAUCUUUGCCUAUUGUCAAGGAAGAGCAAGGAGUAUAGAGAAGGACCCACAAAAUAUUGGGACAUAUGUGGAGAUUUGUUUGAUAUAGAAGGGCGUGAAAUGAUGGAGCUAGCACAACUUUCCCUUGAUGAUCCGUAGAUGCAAACAAUGACUUUUGAUGAUGAUAAUGAAAGUCAGCAACUUGUUCCUGAAGAUUCAACCAAUUGAAGAAGGGUGUUAGUCAACUAGUUUCUUUGUAGUCAUCUAUUCUUAGUCUAGGAGUAGAAGACUUCAAAGAAAUUGUGUUUUUUCAUUUCAAGAACUAUAUGCAUGAACCUUUUGGGAUAUUAUGUUUUUUGGAUAAUUUAUUUUGGUAUAUUUUUUUUGGAUAAUUUAUUUUUGGUAUAUUUUUUUUGGAUAAUUUAUUUUUGUGGCAUGUAAUGAAGUUACAUUUGGUAGUUGUUUUAUGAAUUAUCUAUUUUGUUGGCACAUAAUUUUAGAGUGAAUUUUAUUUUACAAUUUAAAUGUAUUUACUAAUUUUUGUUUAGCCGUAUCCAUGUACUCGUAUUUAAUUUUUGAGUACUUUUUAGACGUACCCACGUAUCCCUCAUUUAGGAAUUUGACGAGUCUAACUCCUAGAUGCAUAUCCGAACCCGACACUCGUACUCGAGUCCGUGUAACGUAGGACACCACAUGGGAUGAAACCCAAAGGAUUCGUACGGUUAAUAAGAUAUGAUGAUGCCAAAUUCAAGUGGCAUUAUCAUUUAAUUUGAAAUUCUAGUUGAAAAUGAGGCACUCUUAUCACAUGGAUGACGCUAUAAAUAUGAGGACCAUCACACAAGAGAAGGGAUCGAAAAUCAAUAGAAAAAAUCAAAGGAUCAGGAAUCAGAAAUUAGAGAGAGAGAGAGAGAAAUCACAAGUAAAAGAAGUCAGCAUAAGGAAGAAGAAGAGAAAUAGGGAGAACUCAGGAGCUUACGCUACAAACGCAUAAUGGCGAUCAAUAGCUAAAGGAUUCCAAGCCCAUGAAUUGUACUUUGUAUUCAAGGGUUCAAGCCCACAACAAUUUCAAUAAAAUAUUUCUUUUCCUUAAAUUUUUUUAUGUUAAUUUUUUUCUUCAUUAAUCGGAUGUUUCAUUUAAUUAAAAUGUGUAAUUAGCGAUCUGGCAUGCAGAUCAGAAAUAGGAACCUACUAUUCAAAUUAGCAACAUUGUUUAGUCCAAAAAACUAAAUAGUGGACAUUUGUGACAUGAACUUUGAAAUGUAUUGAAACACUCAUGUUUCAAAAUUUGUGUUUACAAGGACAAAGUUAGGAUUGCUGAUGGUACUGCCUCUUAUGUUGUUGGGAAAGGUUUAAUCCAUGCCACACCUAUUCUACCUUUAUCUUCAGUUUUACAUGUCCCAAACUUCUCUAUUAAUCUUUUGCCAUUGAGUCGUCUUACCCGGAACUUGAAUUGUAGUGUGACUUUUUCUCAUAUUCAUUGUAUUUUUCAGAACUUUAUCAUGAGGAGGACGAUUAGUAGUGGUAGAGUAGAGAAUGGUCUCUAUAUCCUGGAUCAGGCAGACAUAUUGGCUCAUCAUUCCAUCUAGUUUCCGACCACCAGAUAGGACAUUUGGUUAUGGCAUCAGUGUCUUGGACAUCCAUCUUUUUUGUUACUUAAGCAUUUAUUUCCUUCGUUUUUUAGGAACACUAACGUUUCUGAGUUUAAUUGUGGGUCUUGUCAACUUGGCAAACAACAUAGAGCUUCUUUUUCUCCUAGUUUUAAUAAAAGUUUAAUUCCGUUUUCAUUAAUUCAUUAUGAUAUUUGGGGUCCAUCUUGUGUUGUUUCAUUGAAAGGUCAUAGAUGCUUUGUCACAUUUAUUGGUGAUUUUUCUUGUACUACUUGGGUAUAUCUUAAGAAAGACGAGUGAAGUUUCCUCUGUAUUCUGGACUUUCCAUUAGAUGAUCCGUGUUCAAUUUGGUGUGGUUGUCAAAGUUUUGCAUUAUGAUAAUGGGGGUGAGUAUAUUGAUUUGGGUUAGGGAAGGGAACUAUUUUAGCACCCGUGCAUUAUUCAUUAGCCAUCUUGCACCAAUACCCUCAGUAAAAUGGGGUUGCGGAACGCAAGAAUCGUCGUCUCCUUUGUCACGUGAUUUUUUCUAUGCAUGUGCCUCGGUCUUACUGGGGUGAAGUUGUUUUCAUUGCUGCCUAUCUUAUCAAUCGCCUUCCUACCCAAGUGUUGCACAAGUGAGCUCCUCUUCAGGUGUUCUUAGACUUUUAGUUAGUAUUUUCCAUUUCCCCAAAAAUCUUUGGGUGUGCCUUAUUUUGUCCACAAUCAUUCCCUUCUUCGUGGUAAGUUGGAUUCUCGCUCCCUUAAAUGUAUUUUUCUUGUUUACUCGCCUAUUCAAAAGGGGUAUAAGUGUUAUUAUUCUCCGUCUCGUAAGUGGUUUAUGUCCAUGGAUGCCACAUUCUUUGGGUUACGGUCCUACUUUUUUGUCCUCUCCUAUUUCCCUGUCCUCUUUUAGGGGGAGCCUUGGUGUGAAGAGAUUCUUGGAUCAUUACCGGUUGCUUUGGUUGCUGAAGAUGUAACCUGUGAACCAGAUUAUGAACCAACUAUUGGGAAUACAGAAUCAAAUACAUUCAAGGAGCAAGGGAAGGUCUAUGUCAGGGACAAAGAAAGACAAAAGGUUACUUAGAUCCAAGAGACCACUUCUUCUAAUCUUCCAUUACCGUCUCUUUGUACUAAUGAGAGUAUAGGUAACUUUGAAAUUCCUGUUCUUCUUGAAAAUACAGAUCUUGAUAUUCCUAUUGCCAAACAGAAGGGUGUGAGGUCUUGUACUCAAAAUCGUAUCUCUAACUUUGUAUCCUAUUCUAAUUUAUCCCCUUCAUAUAGAGCCUUUGUGUCAAAGAUUUCCUCUGUCAGUAUACCUAACCAUUUUCAGGAUGCUCUUGCCACCUUUGAGGGGAAACUUUUCGUGAUAGAAGAGAUGAAAACACUUCGUAAGAAUGGUACUUAGGAAUUGACAGAGUCACCUAAGGGCAAACGAUCUGUUGGAUGCAAAUGGGUGUAUACUGUGAAGCACAAGGCAGAUGGUUCGAUUGAGCGUUAUAAAGCUCGGCUUGUGCGAAGGGCUUUACUUAGACCUAUGGAGUUGACUGUCAAGAGACAUUUGCUCCAAUUGCAAAAAUGAACUCAGUUAGGAUACUCCUUUCUCUUGCAGUUAAUUUGGAUUGGCCCCUUGACCAGUUUGAUGUGAAAAAUGCCUUCUUGCAUGGUGAUCUAGAAGAAGAAGAAGUGUAUAUGAACAUUUCUCUUGGUUUUGAAGACCGUCAACAAAAAGUAAGGUGUGCAGGCUUCGAAAAUCUUUGUAUGGCCUCAAACAGUCUUCAAGAGCUUGGUUUGAGAGAUUUACUCAACCAAUGCUUAGAAAUGGCUUCAAACAAAGUCAGGCUGAUCACACUUUAUUUAUUAAGCAUUCCUUACAUAAUAAGACUACGACUCUCAUUGUAUAUGUGAAUGACAUGGUGUUUACUGUUGGAGAAUGUGUGAAGGUAAAGUCCCACAUCGGAUAAAGAGUAAAAGAGAUGAGUUUUGAUAUACAUUAGAUGGGCCCUCUACUUAUAGGCUUAAGCUUUUAAGUGGGUAUAAGUUCCAAAUAAUGUAUGUUGGGCCCUGAUAUGGCGUGUGUGGACUUUAGAGUUUCUCCUUAAUGGAUUGGAUCGGUACUGCUGUACUCUUGUGGUCUCCCUAAUUCUCUAACAACUGGUGUUAGAUGGUAGAUGAUCUAUGGGUGGACUCUCCUGGAACAUUGAUGUUGGUGGGUUUGGGCUUGCACAAAAACUCUUGAUGGAGUAAGAAAAAUUUAUGAUAACUCUUGAUGGAGCAAAGAAAAUUACUGGUGCACAUGGCAAGGUUGGACCGUGACAAGAUGGCUCUCAAUGGAAUGUGGUGGCUCAUGAUGGAGUGCGUGCAGGUGGCCCAACUCGAUAUUGGAGAGUUAUAGAUUAAGAUUAAGGGGAGUGUGUAGUGAUCUACGAUGAACUUGCUGAUUAUAGAUCAAGACUCGAGGGGGAGCAUGGAGAGGCCUAAUGUUUGGUUCACACAUGAGGGGGAGAUUGUUGGGGCAUGUGUGAAGGUAGAGUCCCACAUUAGAUAAAGGGUAAAAGAGAUGAGUCUUAAUAGUUAAUAUAUAUUAGAUGGGCUCUCUACUUAUAGGCUGAAGCUUUUUAGUGGGUAUGAGUUCCAAAUAAUGUAUGUUAGGUCUUGACAUGGCGUUUGUGGAUAUAGAGUUUCUCCCUAAUGGAUUGAGCCGGUAUUGCUAUGUGCUUGUGGGCUCCUUAAUUUCCUAACAUUUACAGGCGAUGAUGUUGAGGAAAUGCCCCGGUUGAAGGAAUAUUUGGCACAAGAGUUUGAAAUAAAAGACUUGGGAACUCUGAAGUAUUUCCUGGGCAUUGAGGUAGCCCGAUUUGAAGAUGGGAUUUUUAUCUGUCAAAGGAAGUAUGUUCUUGACUUGUUGAAAGAAACUAGAAUGCUUGGAAGUAGAGUUGAUAAGGGGAGAUAGUGGAGAAGUUGUUGUUGAUAAGGGGAGAUAUCAGAGGCUAGUAGGUAAACUCAUUUAUUUGUCCUACUCUCGUCCUGACAUUGCUGUGGGUGUUAGUGUGGUUAGUCAAUUCAUGCAUGACCCUCAUGAGGCACACUUGGAAGCAGUUAUGAGACUCCCUAGAUAUUUGAAGUCUUUUCCUGGCAAGCGACGAUUUUUCUCCAGAUAUGAUCAUCUCAAAGUGGAAGCUUAUGUCGAUGCUGAUUGGGCGGGAUCAGUCAUUGAUAGGAGGUCUACUUUGGGGUAUUGCACCUUUGUUGGGGGCAAUUUGGUUACUUGGAGGAGUAAAAAAUAGAAUGUGGUGGCAAGAUCUAGUUUAGAGGCAAAAUUUAGGGCCAUGGCACAAUAUGUGUGAACUUUUGUGGAUUAAGUUGCUGAGUAAUUUGAGAAUUGAUCAGAUGGACGCGAUGCGCCUAUAUUGUGACGAUAAGGCUGCUAUCAACAUAGCCUACAAUCUAGUUCAACAUGACUGAACGAAACAUGUUGAAAUUGAUCCACACUUUAUUAAGGAGAAACUCACCAGUGACACUAUAUGUAUUCCUUUUGUGAAGUCUGACGAACAACUUGCUGAUAUUCUCACCAAGGGAGUUGGGAAUAAACCAUUUCAUGAUGCUCUUAGUAAGCUGGGAAUGAGAGACAUUUUUGUACCAACUUGAGGGGGAGUGUUAGUAUAUCUUUGUAAUUAUAUUUUUUUUAUUGUAAUUAGCUGUCAUUAGUUGUAGGUUUCCUUAUUGUGCCUUGAGGCUUCUUAUGUAAGUUUCGUAUUAUUAAUAUAAAGGGGGUGAUAACCUAAUCGCACCCUAAGUUCAAUUUCUCAUAAAUAAACACUAUCGGUAUAAUUUGCCAAAAAAAAAAAAAAAUGACACAUACUUUGUGUGAAUUCCAUCAGUUUUUCUUAAUUUCUGACUUAUUGCUAAUCUAACAAGUGUGUGCUCGUCUUUUAUUUAUUUAUUUAUUUUUUACUGACACAAGCGAAACUUUUGGGACUAUUGGUAUUAUUUGCCCAAAAAAAUAUGACAUGUACUUUUGUGAACUCCAUCAAUUUUUAUUAAUUUCUAACUUAAUUGCUAAUCAAACAAGUGUGUGCUCUUUUUUUUUUUUUUGGUUUUGGUGCGCACGCGCACGCGUGUGCGCAUGGGGGUGUUAGUGAAUGCUUUUCUUUUUUUUUACCUUUUACUUGGUCUUAGGUUGAUGUAAUAUCUCUCUUGCUUCAGUUUAUAGACCUGGGUACAGGAAUUCUUAGUUUAAUAAGAAGCAAAUUAAACUAAAUACAGGAUUGCCAAUUCAUUUUUUUAUUCUCAGGUUGAAUUUAUGGUUUUUCUUUUUCAGUUUUUGUGUUUCUUCACUCUGAGUUUGAUAACUAUUUUGUUUUCUUUAUCUUUUUUGAAUAUUGUUAUGGGUGGCUAGUGGAUCUGUGUGUCUCUGUUGGUUGAGCCAUAUUUGAGGGUUAGGCAUUCAUAUGAGGGAAAAUGUAUCAUCUUGGUGCUUUUUCUUGGUCUAAAAUUGGAUAUCUAUGGCUUAGAGUUAUGGUUUUUUUUUUUUUCUUUUGACCCUCAUAGUUUAAGAUUUAGCUCAUUAAAGCUUGUCUAUUUUGCUGCUUAUGUCUUUGCAUCUUCCUUUUUUGCUCCUUACUUUGGCCCAUGCUGCCAAGAUUUGUCUGAUCAAAACUUACUGUAACAGGAUGACAUAUCUUAAUUUAGUUGUGACCUUUGGAUUGUUUUUGGCAAGGAAGUUGUCUCCAACGGGGGAUCUCUUCUACAUGGUGAUGCAGUGGCUUAGUGCCAUCUGUGGUGCUGGUUCAAGGGUUUCCAACAUUCCUUGUAUCGGGCCAAUAAUGGCGGGGCCAAUUUUGCUCAACAUGGUUACACCAAGGGUGAUGGCCUUGGUCCUAAGAUUGUUGGCACCUUUGUCCUUGUCUACCUAUGAAGCACGGACACCUCUCUGAGGGUUGCGUAUCAGUGUCGGACACGGACACGCAGCAGAAGGUGCCCUGUUUUUAUUUUUAUUUUUUGCAGCCAGAAUGGACACAUUCAGGACACGUUCGGGACAUUGCGGGGUGAAAUUCAGAAUUUAUGGAACUUUUUGUGGGGGUAAAUUUGUAAAAAA